rnacentral:tRNA from 1 species
GAGGGUAUAGCUCAGUGGUAGAGUUCUACAUGCCUAGCAUGCAUAAGGUCCUGGGUUCAAUCCCUAGUACCUCCA